rnacentral:rRNA from 1 species
ACGGAGGGAGCUAGCGUUGUUCGGAAUUACUGGGCGUAAAGCGUACGUAGGCGGCUAUUCAAGUCAGAGGUGAAAGCCCGGGGCUCAACCCCGGAACUGCCUUUGAAACUAGAUAGCUAGAAUCUUGGAGAGGUUAGUGGAAUUCCGAGUGUAGAGGUGAAAUUCGUAGAUAUUCGGAAGAACACCAGUGGCGAAGGCGACUAACUGGACAAGCAUUGACGCUGAGGUACGAAAGCGUGGGGAGCAAACAGGAUUAGAUACCCUGGUAGUCCACGCCGUAAACGAUGAUAACUAGCUGUCCGGGCACUUGGUGCUUGGGUGGCGCAGCUAACGCAUUAAGUUAUCCGCCUGGGGAGUACGGUCGCAAGAUUA